GUUUUCGUAGAGAAUUGCUCGGUAUCAUUUUUGCAUAAAACUAACAUAUAUUAUUUUUAGCGGUCUUAAUUGGUGAACUCUCUGGAAAAGUUUUGUAUGGCGAUACGAAAAACACUAGCUGUAUCCAGUGCACGAUCAACAAACGCGAUGGUAAAGAAAAAGAACACGAAUGUUUUAUAAAUUUUGAAGGUUGUGCCGGUGCGAUGGAGCCGGCAAUUGCUGUCGAAGGGAUAAACGUUCUGUGUGAGGAAGGGUUGAAAUUUUCUACCCUUAUAGCUGACCGAGAUACCAAUGUUUACGAUACAGUUUCAGACAAAUGCGUGUAUGGCGUAGAAAUAUCUAAAGCGGAUUGUGUUAACCAUACUUUGAAAGGAUCUAAUAAACAGUUAUACGGUCUUGCUGGAAAAACGGAAACCGAUUUGCCGCGCAUAACGUUGAGGAAACUAAUUCCAAAAAUUUACAGCGGGUUGAAAGCAGCGAUCAUGUACUGUGCUCUGCAUGGCGGAAUUGAUGUGGAAGGACUGAUUCUGGACAUUUUGAACGUGUUCAACCACUGUAUUGGAAAACACACAAAUUGCCGCGCGUACUUUUGCCGAAGAGAGGACGAACCAGAGAAAUCAAUCAUUUUUGAAAAUGCAACCGACUUGGUCAAUGCUGUCGAUCGAAUACUGCAGAAUUUAGCAGCUAAUGCGGAAAGGUUGAAACAUGGGUUAACGACGAACAAAGCGGAAAACUUUUUCAGCAUCGUUGCGAAGAUGAUUCUUGGCAAAAGGGAAAACUUAUGUGGGAGAGGAAACUACGCUUUGAGAGUUUUAUUUUCAAUUCUUUUAUACAACGAAGGAUAUAGUUGGCCAUCAAAGUGGAUGCAGAAAUUCACGGGAAAAACAACUAAUAAAAAUUUCCAGAAAUACGCAGAGCAACGUGAUAAACAGCGAGUUUACACAGCCAAAUCCGCUCAAAGGCCGGAAGCGUCGCAGAAAAGAUACAAUCGACCAGAAGAAAAAUGUUACGGGGAGAAUAAACAACCUGUGAUCUCCGAUACCAUAAUGUCCAACAAGAAGCAGCAAUACCAAGUA